GACGAACGCUGGCGGCGUGCUUAACACAUGCAAGUCGAACGGAAAGGCCCUGCUUUUGUGGGGUUCUCGAGUGGCGAACGGGUGAGUAACACGUGAGUAACCUGCCCUUGACUUUGGGAUAACUUCAGGAAACUGGGGCUAAUACCGGAUAGGAUCUCCUGCUGCAUGGUGGGGGUUGGAAAGUUUCGGCGGUUGGGGAUGGACUCGCGGCUUAUCAGCUUGUUGGUGGGGUAGUGGCUUACCAAGGCUUUGACGGGUAGCCGGCCUGAGAGGGUGACCGGCCACAUUGGGACUGCGAUACGGCCCAGACUCGUACGGGAGGCAGCAGUGGGGAAUAUUGCACAAUGGGCGGAAGCCUGAUGCAGCAACGCCGCGUGCGGGAUGACGGCCUUCGGGUUGUAAACCGCUUUCGCCUGUGACGAAGCGUGAGUGACGGUAAUGGGUAAAGAAGCACCGGCUAACUACGUG
rnacentral:rRNA from 1 species